UAGGGAAUAUUGCGCAAUGGGCGAAAGCCUGACGCAGCAACACCGCGUGGAGGAUGAAGUUUCUAGGAACGUAAACUCCUGUCGGCAGGGAAUAAUUUUGACUGUACCUGCAAAGGAAGGACCGGCUAACUACGUGCCAGCAGCCGCGGUAAUACGUAGGGUCCAAGCGUUGUCCGGAUUUAUUGGGCGUAAAGAGUUCGUAGGUGGUUGCUUAAGUCUGAUGUUAAAUACCGAAGCUUAACUUCGGCAUGGCAUUGGAAACUGGGCGGCUGGAGUCCGUCAGAGGUAACUGGAAUUCCUGGUGUAGCGGUGAAAUGCGUAGAUAUCAGGAGGAACACCCGUGGCGAAAGCGAGUUACUGGGACGGUACUGACACUGAGGAACGAAAGCCUGGGGAGCGAAAGG
rnacentral:rRNA from 1 species